UCUAGUACUACUGGGAAUGUGGGGAGCCGAAGAGCCAGGCAGAAGGGGGAGCUCAGGGCCAUUGCUGAGGGCCAUGAGUGCUUCCCUGGUCUCAUCCAGUCCCCCAAGUCACCGUGGCCCUUUCCCAAGUACAGCAGACUAUUGUCUGUGCUCUGCUUUUUAGACCUCCAAGUAUCACUGGUCUCAAGAUAGGCCCCCCCAACGCCCCCGCCUCCCAACACACACACACAUACACUCACCACCUGACAUCAGGAAGAAACACGUGAGCAUGGGUGAGCCAAGAUCCCAUCCUCUACUUCUGCCCUUCCUGGCAGGAGGAGAUAGAACAGGUUAGAUGGGCAGCCCCACAGUGGGUCUGGGAGGGAGCCAGCAGGCUGGGAGCAGGAGAGACCACUCACCCUCUGGUGGAAUCACAGGCAGUCUUUCAAGUGCUAGUACAGCCCGCCGCCUGGAAGCCACAGGCAUUCGGCCUGUGCAGGCAUCUGACUUACGGUCUAAGGAAGAGAACAGAGGUCAUGAGUUGAGGGUGGAAUGCAGAGCCUUUAGUGCAGAAGGGGGAUGGGGGGUAUGCCGUGUCACUGGUAGCAGGCUCCCGCCUCCUCCACCCCUGCAUGUGGGUAGUGAGCUCUGUUUCCAGCAGUUGCCGGCGGGGACAGACGGGACCAAGCCCAAAGGAGCGUAGGCAGAUCCAAGAAAGGUUCUUCUCUGUGUUGAUACCUGCCUAGCCGUCCUCUGCCUGUGUCCCCCCUCGGCAGGGGUCCAGCUCCGAACGCGGUGCUUUGAGGCCAUCUGCUAGCGCCUCCGGGAGUGACAGUGCAGGAGGGAGACAGGUUGGGGCGAGGUGGGCAGGCCGGCAGCCAGGAGGUUGGCUUGUUUGUGGAGGCUCCAGGCCACGUGAUCAGCAAGCUAACUGCUACCACUCUCCUCCGCAGACCAUGAAAUCCCUGGAGAAUUUUUGGUGACAUGCACUGAGCCAAGGUGAUGGACUGUAUAUUUAAGGAAAGACAUAAAAAGAAAAAAAAAAUUAAAAUGGAAUUGGAGGCCGAACGCCACACAGCUGCCCUCUCUCUCACCCAGUAAAUGCUGAAAGCUCUUAGGACAGGAAAACCUGCCACGGGGCUGCUUCCCUUCCUCCCAGGGCUGGCAGAGGCUCAGGCUCCACUUCGGCUCUCUCCUAGGAUACGGAAACCAUGGCAACGAAAGUAGAAUGUAAAACUUGGAGCAAAGGGCUGGGGGAGGGGGCGCCCAACUGCCUUCCUCCCCCUCCUGGGAGCCACCACCAGUCACCUCUCCGUGGAAGCCAGUCAGAGGCAUUGGCCAAGGAUAGGAGGAGGAGGAGCGAGAACUCUCCAUAGAAUGUAAUUUUCAGAGCAUGUAUAUGUACAUAUAUAUAUAUCUAUUUAUAUGUAAAUAGCAUAUAUAAAGAUAUAUAUAUAUACAUAUAUAUAUACAGUCUACUUUUUAAACUAUGCAGGGAUUUGGUUAUUUAGCUGAUUUCCUCCCUGUUUUAGAAAACAAGGCCUGUGUGGGGAAGGUCACUUGGUCCUUCAAAGGCUAGACAUUGGCCAGAGCUGACAGCCUGAAAGAAAAUCCCCUCAACCCCAGCCUGCUGUUGAUGGCAGCAGUAAUCAUGAUAGUGUAAGUCUAGAGAACUCAGAGGGUGCCAGGGUCAUGAUGAAGCUGGAGGGGAACAGGCUUUCAGGGGAGGAAGUGCCCCUAGGGCCAGGUACCCUGUCAGGAUCCAGUCGUGGAGGCCCCCGGCUGCCUGCGGGUGUGGUACCACCCACCACAAGCUUUGGUCAGCUCAGGUGGGCUCUUGGGCCUGGAGCCCAGGAGCCUUCUGCCCCCUUGCCACAGAGAGCAGGGUUAGAGAGGGGGACCAAGUUCUGCCUGGCCACCCCCCCCCCACCUCAGUCCCAAAGUGGGUUUUGCCUUAUAGAUGCCACAGGGCACAGCUCCGUGUUGUUGCCACUGGUUUUUCCCAAGUCAGGCACCAAGGACUCCAGACGGUUCUUCCUCCAAGAGUCAGCCAGGCGGUGCCCAAGACCCUGGGGCAGCAGCCACCUCCUGAAGAAAGUCCAGGCCUGUGGGCACCUCUGUCUCCGCCAUCCAUGGACAUGCUGCCACCCGGCCUUCUGUUGCACUUUGGACAAAGGCUGCAUCCGAACCUGAAGGGUUUCCUUCUACUCACCUUGAAUGGGUGUGUCCUGGAGCCUGCCAUCGUCCAAAGCCUUACUUCCCUAAGCUGCCAGCCAGGAGGCCAUAACCACCCUCCCAGAAUUUCUCUUGGCUCUUUUUUUUUUUUUUUUCUUUUUUUUUCUUAAGUAACCCCCAACGAAUAAGAUUCUUGCUGGGAAAGGAAGCUUGGUAAAGAAGUGUCAGAUCGGAUUUUUGAACGAGAUCCCACCCUGUGAUGCAACAGCCACCCCAGCUGGAGAGACACUAAGAACUGGACAUGGGCAGGAGCGCCCCACCCUUGGUGGCCCUGGUGCUCUGCUGCCACCUCCCCUACCAUCUGGUCUCCGUAGCCGUCCCCAGGUGGGCUGACCCAUGUGCAAUAAGAACAUAGAUCCUAAAGGAUCCCCUGAGAAGCUGUAUUUCUUGAAUUAGAAUUCUAAAAUUGUACAUCUAUAAAUAUAUGUUUAUUAUGUGA